rnacentral:rRNA from 1 species
AAUGAACGCUGGCGGCAGGCCUAACACAUGCAAGUCGAACGGAUCCUUCGGGAUUAGUGUCGGACGGGUGAGUAACGCGUGGGAACAUACCCAAAGGUACGGAAUAGCCUCGGGAAACUGGGAGUAAUACCGUAUGUGCUCGAAAGAGGAAAGAUUUAUCGACUUUGGAUUGGCCCGCGUUGGAUUAGGUAGUUGGUGGGGUAAUGGCCUACCAAGCCGACGAGCCAAAGCUGGUUGGAGAGGAUGAUCAGCCACACUGGGACUGAGACACGGCCCAGACUCCUACGGGAUGCAGCAGUGGGGAAUCUUAGACAAUGGGGGAAACCCUGAUCUAGCCAUGCCGCGUGAUCGAUGAAGGCCUUAGGGUUGUAAAGAUCUUUCAGGUGGGAAGAUAAUGACUGUACCACCAGAAGAAGCCCCGGCUAACUUCGUGCCAGCCGCCGCGGUAAGAC